CACGUAGGGGGCAAGCGUUGUCCGGAUUUACUGGGCGUAAAGGGCGCGUAGGCGGCGCGGUAAGUCACUUGUGAAAUCUCUGAGCUUAACUCAGAACUGCCAAGUGAUACUGCAGUGCUAGAGUGUGGAAGGGGCAAUCGGAAUUCUUGGUGUAGCGGUGAAAUGCGUAGAUAUCAAGAGGAACACCUGAGGUGAAGACGGGUUGCUGGGCCAACACUGACGCUGAGGCGCGAAAGCCAGGGGAGCAAACGGG
rnacentral:rRNA from 1 species